rnacentral:rRNA from 1 species
CCAAUAGCGUAUAUUAAAGUUGUUGCAGUUAAAAAGCUCGUAGUUGAAUUUCGGGAUCAAUAGGUCGGUCAUGCCGUCGGUAUGUACUGGCCUUAUUGGUUCUCACCUUCUAAUGAACCGUAAUGUCAUUAAUUUGAUGCUACGGGGAAUUAGGACUGUUACCUUGAAAAAAUUAGAGUGUUUAAAGCAGGCUAACGCUUGAAUACAUUAGCAUGGAAUAAUGAAAUAGGACAUCAGAUUCUAUUUUGUUGGUUUCUAGGAUCGAUGUAAUGAUUAAUAGGGAUAGUUGGGGGCAUUAGUAUUCAAUUGUCAGAGGUGAAAUUCUUGGAUUUAUUGAAGACUAACUACUGCGAAAGCAUUUGCCAAGGAUGUUUUCAUUAAUCAAGAACGAAAGUUAGGGGAUCGAAGACGAUCAGAUACCGUCGUAGUCUUAACCAUAAACUAUGCCGACUAGGGAUCGGAUGAUGUUUAUUUUUUAGUGACUCAUUCGGCACCUUACG